rnacentral:rRNA from 1 species
UACAGAGGGUGCGAGCGUUAAUCGGAAUUACUGGGCGUAAAGGGCGCGUAGGUGGUUGUGUAAGUGAGAUGUGAAAUCCCCGGGCUUAACCUGGGAACUGCAUCUUAUACUGCAUAGCUUGAGUACAUGAGAGGGUAGUGGAAUUUCCGGUGUAGCGGUGAAAUGCGUAGAUAUCGGAAGGAACACCAGUGGCGAAGGCGGCUACCUGGCAUGAUACUGACACUGAGGCGCGAGAGCGUGGGGAGCAAACAGG